rnacentral:rRNA from 1 species
AGUGAACGCUGGCGGUAGGCCUAACACAUGCAAGUCGAACGGCAGCACAGUAAGAGCUUGCUCUUACGGGUGGCGAGUGGCGGACGGGUGAGGAAUACAUCGGAAUCUACUUUUUCGUGGGGGAUAACGUAGGGAAACUUACGCUAAUACCGCAUACGGCCUACGAGUGAAAGCAGGGGAUCUUCGGACCUUGCGCGAUUGAAUGAGCCGAUGUCGGAUUAGCUAGUUGGCGGGGUAAAGGCCCACCAAGGCGACGAUCCGUAGCUGGUCUGAGAGGAUGAUCAGCCACACUGGAACUGAGACACUGUCCAGACUCCUACGGGAGGCAGCAGUGGGGAAUAUUGGACAAUGGGCGCAAGCCUGAUCCAGCCAUACCGCGUGGGUGAAGAAGGCCUUCGGGUUGUAAAGCCCUUUUGUUGGGAAAGAAAAGCAGCAGGUUAAUACCCCGCUGUUCUGACGGUACCCAAAGAAUAAGCACCGGCUAACUUCGUG